rnacentral:rRNA from 1 species
UACGUAGGGUGCAAGCGUUGUCCGGGAUUAUUGGGCGUAAAGAGCUCGUAGGUGGCCUGUCGCGUCGGCUGUGAAAACUCGGGGCUCAACUCCGAGCUUGCAGUCGAUACGGGCAGGCUAGAGUUCGGCAGGGGAGACUGGAAUUCCUGGUGUAGCGGUGAAAUGCGCAGAUAUCAGGAGGAACACCGGUGGCGAAGGCGGGUCUCUGGGCCGAUACUGACACUGAGGAGCGAAAGCGUGGGGAGCGAACAGG